rnacentral:tRNA from 1 species
GGGCCGGUAGUCUAGUCUGGUAGGAUACCCCCUUGGCAUGGGGGAGGUCGGGGGUUCGAGUCCCCCCCGGUCCACCA